rnacentral:tRNA from 1 species
GCCGGGUUGGUGGAAUAGGCAUACACGGCGCACUCAAAAUGCGCUGCCCUCACGGGCGUGUGGGUUCGAGUCCCACACCCGGCA